rnacentral:rRNA from 1 species
GACGAACGCUGGCGGCGUGCUUAACACAUGCAAGUCGAACGGAGCGAAUGAAAGCUUGCUUUUAUAAGCUUAGUGGCAAACGGGUGAGUAACACGUAGACAACCUGCCGACAGGAUGGGGACAACAUUCCGAAAGGAAUGCUAAUACCGAAUGAAGCGGAGGAGAGGCAUCUCUCCUCUGUGAAAGAUGGCCUCUGAAUAUGCUAUCACCUGUUGAUGGGUCUGCGUCUGAUUAGCUGGUAGGUGAGGUAACGGCUCACCUAGGCGACGAUCAGUAGCCGGUCUGAGAGGAUGAACGGCCACAUUGGGACUGAGACACGGCCCAGACUCCUACGGGAGGCAGCAGUGGGGAAUCUUCCGCAAUGGGCGCAAGCCUGACGGAGCAACGCCGCGUGAGUGAAGAAGGUCUUCGGAUCGUAAAGCUCUGUUGAUGGGGACGAACGUGCCUAAUGCGAAUAGUUUUAGGCAAUGACGUACCCAUCGAGGAGCCACG